UAGCCACCUCUCCUUCAUCGCUCAAUUGGAGAAGCCGUCUCUUCUCACCGAUUCGUCAGCUGAUGAUGGUGGUGUUUAGGGUUGGAGAAACGACGAUGGUGGUGAGCAGUGGCUGCUCCCAUGCCACAAUCAGGGGCCUAAAAGUCGUCUGCAGCAGAUGCCGCUGACAUGGAUCUAACGGUGCUAUAUGCAUUUGUCUACCUCCCGAAAGCCUUCAAGCAACUACCGUUUAAACAACUCCCAGAGUAUCAUAAUUGUGGUUUCUUUUUAAAUUAAGUUUUCCAACCCAUCAAGUUCACGGGUUCAGUAAUGAUGCAAGUUAUGUUAUCUCGGGUAGUGAUGAUAGUAUGAUACCAAUCUUCGGACUUUGGAUGGCUAAAGCAUCCGAGCAACUGGGUGUUACUCUACCACGAGUAUAUGGAGGCUGUGAAGAAUCGCUACAAGCACCUUCAUGAGGUCAAACGUAAAUUCAGGUACAUUUUUUGACUGGUGGUAAGCUUAACAAUGAGUUUUAUAUGGAUGCGCAAGGACAAGAACAAACCGCUUAGGUGGAAUACAUCGAGAGAAAACACAAUGACCAGAGCCAAAAAGGCAACAUCACUUAUAGCUUAUAGCUGACAUGAUUCAUGUGUCUUCCCAAUAGAAAUCAACCUGCAUUUUGAUUGAAGUUAGGGACCAACAAAAUAAUUGGUGAUCUGCUAUGGUUAAUUACUUUGCAGAGUCAUGAUGUGUUGUCAUAUGAAGCUAAGAGAAAAUUCAUAGCUGAUAUGGGUCGACUUUCAACAAUUCAAGAAUCGAGCACCGCGAUACGAAUCAAAUAUGAAGUUAUAUUACAUAACAGGGAGUAAGUAUGAUGAAGUUGUUAUUUCAACCUAUUUACUCAAAUGGGUCGAUUUUAAAUUUGUUUUUAAAGGUGUGUAGGGAUGUUUACGGUUCGAUUUAAAACAGUUAAACCAGUCGUCGAUCCAGUUUCAUGGUUGGUUUUAUUUUUAGUUUUCGGUCGGUCGGUUUCAAACCAUAUUGAACGGUUUGGUUUGCGGUUUACACCGGAAACAGACCGUAUAAAACCGGACAAGACCAUUAGAUAUAGAUAUACUAUUAUUUUAAAAAUAUUUCAUACAUAUGGAGAUGUAAUACGAAAUCAAACCAUAUUGAGACAAAGACAGUAAAAUACUAAGUGCCUAAUUUUUAAAUGUGUCAUUUGGGUUUGUCAUGGAUCAGUAAAAUGAUUUAAAAUUCGAAUCGGCUAAAUCGAUGAAAAUCAAAAACACCGGCCCCUAAUAUUUAUCAAUUGUUGUAUCAGUAUAUCCUAAUCUUUCCUAAAUGUUUGUUUCCCCUGUAACUGAUCUUUGAUUUAUUGGCUUCUAGCAUGUGUAUGUUUGUUGAAGACACUUAAAAGUGUUACCAUAUUCGUCACAAGAGAUCUAUCCGCUGACCUAGGAGGUGGCCAAGGAUGUAUUUACUCUAUAAAUUCUAUCGUUCUAACAAAAAUGAUGAUGAAUGUUAAAUGUGAAACCAAACCGGUUGUAUAUUUAUUAUGGAGACUUACAUUGAUCCUGAUUUUCGACAUAAACCGUCAUACUAGAUCGGAACCAAACUGUAAGUAUUGGUGGUUUUCCCUUUCAAUGGUUCGGUUUCGGGUUUUGUUGAUAAAAAAACCAUUAAUAAUAGUUUGGCUUGCGGUUUGACCUAAAACCAUCAAAACCGCACUGUGAACACCCCUAAGGGUGUGCAUGGAGUGGUUUUGGCUCCUUUGGGUAUCUCAAAACCAACCAAAAACCGAAUUCUUUAUUUCGGUUUUUUAAAUUGUCCGGGUGACGGGUUUUGGAGUUGUAUCGAAGGUAAGGGUAUGUGAUUAAAGUUAUUGGUUCUUAGAGUUGUAUCGAAAGGUAUGUGCUUAAAGUUUUGAUCUUUCAUAGUUUUAAUUAAUGUCCAGGUGACGAGUUUUAGAGAUGUAUAGAAGGGCAGGUGAUUAAAGUUUCGAUCUUUCAUUGUUAUAAUUUUUGGGUGACGGGUUUUUAGAGCUAUAUCAAAGGGUGUGUGAUUAAAGUUUUGAUAUUUUGUACUCUUAAAGUUUUUACAUUACCCAUUAUUUUAAAGGUGAGGUUUUACAUUUGUUGCUUGAUAAGGACAAUUUGUUCCAUUGGGUUAGUGAUCCUGUAAUUUUAGUUUAAUUUUUUACCAGUUAUAUGAAGUUUAUUGUUUGUAUUUUGAUAUGAUUAAUGGCCAAGUGUUGUAUGUUAAGAUUUUGUUUAUCUUUUUCAUUCGCAUGUACACGGGUUCUUUCACUGCCUAUCAAAGCCAUGUGCUUUUUUGGCCUCUUAAGGGUCGUUAUAAUAAACUAUAAGUGUAUUUUAACUUACCAUUCGUAAUGAAAUUACAAAGUUUUGUACAGGGGUUGACGGGAAGAGAUGAUUUAAGAAUGAAGACGAGGGGAACAUGAAGCUUUGAGUUUGGUUCCUUCAAGGCUUGCUGGAAGUAGAUUUCAACUUUUUAGUGGUAAGUUUCUGAAUUCAAUUAGUAAGUUUUGAUAUUAAAUAUUGGAUGCGGGAAUUAGAAUACGGUGGUGGGUGCUUAAGAUUUUAGACGGUUUUACAAUUUUAAGGAGAGGUGCUUGAGAAAACUUUUUGAUGAGGAGAAGCAAACCUGUUGUGGGUUUGUUUUAUUGUUCUCAAUUAUUAGCAAACUACGAGGGCACAAGUCAAUAGAGGAACAUAUAUUUAUGUUAUCUAGCAUUCAUUAAGGAAAGUAUAUAUUAGUUUUUUUUUUGUUUUAGAUACAA